CUUAAGCGCAGCAUGAGUUUCCGUGUACAACUUUAAUUAUCUGUCUUAUUUAAAUUUUUUUUAUAAUUAGUAUUUUUAUUGUUAUUAGAUUAUAAAACAUUAAUAGUAUUUUAUGCGUGACUCAUAUUUUUUUUAGUUUUCUCAAAAAAAAAAUUAAAUAAGACGAAUGAUUAAAGUUGAACAUAAAAACUUAUGGCUGCGCUUAUU
rfam:Oryza glumipatula chromosome 1, whole genome shotgun sequence.